AGAGUUUGAUCCUGGCUCAGGAUGAACGCUAGCGGCAGGCUUAACACAUGCAAGUCGAGGGGCAGCAUAAUGGAUAGCAAUAUCUAUGGUGGCGACCGGCGCACGGGUGCGUAACGCGUAUGCAACCUACCUUUAACAGGGGGAUAACACUGAGAAAUUGGUACUAAUACCCCAUAAUAUCAUAGAAGGCAUCUUUUAUGGUUGAAAAUUCCGAUGGUUAGAGAUGGGCAUGCGUUGUAUUAGCUAGUUGGUGGGGUAACGGCUCACCAAGGCGACGAUACAUAGGGGGACUGAGAGGUUAACCCCCCACACUGGUACUGAGACACGGACCAGACUCCUACGGGAGGCAGCAGUGAGGAAUAUUGGUCAAUGGACGCAAGUCUGAACCAGCCAUGCCGCGUGCAGGAAGACGGCUCUAUGAGUUGUAAACUGCUUUUGUACGAGAGUAAACGCUCUUACGUGUAAGAGCCUGAAAGUAUCGUACGAAUAAGGAUCGGCUAACUCCGUGCCAGCAGCCGCGGUAAUACGGAGGAUUCAAGCGUUAUCCGGAUUUAUUGGGUUUAAAGGGUGCGUAGGCGGUUUGAUAAGUUAGAGGUGAAAUACCGGUGCUUAACACCGGAACUGCCUCUAAUACUGUUGAACUAGAGAGUAGUUGCGGUAGGCGGAAUGUAUGGUGUAGCGGUGAAAUGCUUAGAGAUCAUACAGAACACCGAUUGCGAAGGCAGCUUACCAAACUAUAUCUGACGUUGAGGCACGAAAGCGUGGGGAGCAAACAGGAUUAGAUACCCUGGUAGUCCACGCAGUAAACGAUGAAUACUAGGUGUCGGGGCACAUAAGUGCUCCGGUGCCGCAGCAAACGCAAUAAGUAUUCCACCUGGGGAGUACGUUCGCAAGAAUGAAACUCAAAGGAAUUGACGGGGGCCCGCACAAGCGGAGGAACAUGUG
rnacentral:rRNA from 1 species